CAGCCGCCGCGGUAAUACGUAGGUGGCAAUCGUUAUCCGGAAUUAUUGGGCGUAAAGCGCGCGUAGGCGGUUUUUUAAGUCUGAUGUGAGAGCCCACGGCUCAACCGUGGAGGGUCAUUGGAAACUGGAAAACUUGAGUGCAGAAGAGGAAAGUGGAAUUCCAUGUGUAGCGGUGAAAUGCGCAGAGAUAUGGAGGAACACCAGUGGCGAAGGCGACUUUCUGGUCUGUAACUGACGCUGAUGUGCGAAAGCGUGGGGAUCAAACAGGAUUAGAUACCCCAGUAGUCCCUGUCUCUUAUAC
rnacentral:rRNA from 1 species